UACGUAGGGUGCGAGCGUUAAUCGGAAUUACUGGGCGUAAAGCGUGCGCAGGCGGUUUUGCAAGCCGGAUGUGAAAUCCCCGGGCUCAACCUGGGAACUGCAUUUGUGACUGUAGAGCUGGAGUACGGUAGAGGGGGAUGGAAUUCCGCGUGUAGCAGUGAAAUGCGUAGAUAUGCGGAGGAACACCGAUGGCGAAGGCAAUCCCCUGGACCUGUACUGACGCUCAUGCACGAAAGCGUGGGGAGCAAACAGG
rnacentral:rRNA from 1 species